rnacentral:rRNA from 1 species
AGAGUUUGAUCAUGGCUCAGAUUGAACGCUGGCGGCAGGCCUAACACAUGCAAGUCGAACGGUAACAGGAAGCAGCUUGCUGCUUCGCUGACGAGUGGCGGACGGGUGAGUAAUGUCUGGGAAGCUGCCUGAUGGAGGGGGAUAACUACUGGAAACGGUAGCUAAUACCGCAUAAUGUCGCAAGACCAAAGAGGGGGACCUUCGGGCCUCUUGCCAUCGGAUGUGCCCAGAUGGGAUUAGCUUGUUGGUGGGGUAACGGCUCACCAAGGCGACGAUCCCUAGCUGGUCUGAGAGGAUGACCAGCCACACUGGAACUGAGACACGGUCCAGACUCCUACGGGAGGCAGCAGUGGGGAAUAUUGCACAAUGGGCGCAAGCCUGAUGCAGCCAUGCCGCGUGUAUGAAGAAGGCCUUCGGGUUGUAAAGUACUUUCAGCGGGGAGGAAGGGAGUAAAGUUAAUACCUUUGCUCAUUGACGUUACCCGCAGAAGAAGCACCGGCUAACUCCGUGCCAGCAGCCGCGGUAAUACGGAGGGUGCAAGCGUUAAUCGGAAUUACUGGGCGUAAAGCGCACGCAGGCGGUUUGUUAAGUCAGAUGUGAAAUCCCCGGGCUCAACCUGGGAACUGCAUCUGAUACUGGCAAGCUUGAGUCUCGUAGAGGGGGGUAGAAUUCCAGGUGUAGCGGUGAAAUGCGUAGAGAUCUGGAGGAAUACCGGUGGCGAAGGCGGCCCCCUGGACGAAGACUGACGCUCAGGUGCGAAAGCGUGGGGAGCAAACAGGAUUAGAUACCCUGGUAGUCCACGCCGUAAACGAUGUCGACUUGGAGGUUGUGCCCCUGAGGCGUGGCUUCCGGAGCUAACGCGUUAAGUCGACCGCCUGGGGAGUACGGCCGCAAGGUUAAAACUCAAAUGAAUUGACGGGGGCCCGCACAAGCGGUGGAGCAUGUGGUUUAAUUCGAUGCAACGCGAAGAACCUUACCUGGUCUUGACAUCCACGGAAGUUUUCAGAGAUGAGAAUGUGCCUUCGGGAACCGUGAGACAGGUGCUGCAUGGCUGUCGUCAGCUCGUGUUGUGAAAUGUUGGGUUAAGUCCCGCAACGAGCGCAACCCUUAUCCUUUGUUGCCAGCGGUCCGGCCGGGAACUCAAAGGAGACUGCCAGUGAUAAACUGGAGGAAGGUGGGGAUGACGUCAAGUCAUCAUGGCCCUUACGACCAGGGCUACACACGUGCUACAAUGGCGCAUACAAAGAGAAGCGACCUCGCGAGAGCAAGCGGACCUCAUAAAGUGCGUCGUAGUCCGGGUUGGAGUCUGCAACUCGACUCCAUGAAGUCGGAAUCGCUAGUAAUCGUGGAUCAGAAUGCCACGGUGAAUACGUUCCCGGGCCUUGUACACACCGCCCGUCACACCAUGGGAGUGGGUUGCAAAAGAAGUAGGUAGCUUAACCUUCGGGAGGGCGCUUACCACUUUGUGAUUCAUGACUGGGGUGAAGUCGUAACAAGGUAACCGUAGGGGAA